UAUAGGUUUGGUCCUAGCCUUAUUAUUAAUUAUCAGUAAGAUUAUACAUGCAAGCAACCACAUACCAGUGAGAAUGCCCUUCAAAUCUACUCGAUCAACAGGAGCAGGCAUCAAGCACGCCAACCGGCAGCUCACUACGCCUUGCUGAGCCACACCCCCACGGGACACAGCAGUAACAAAACUUGAGCAAUAAACGAAAGUUUGACUAAGCUAUACUGAUCAGCAUAAAUAGGGUUGGUAAAUUUCGUGCCAGCCACCGCGGUCAUACGAUUAACCCAAAUUAAUAUUACACGGCGUAAAGUGUGUUUAAGUUAAUCAACUAAUAAAGUUAAAUUUAAUCUAAGCCGUAAAACGCACUAGACUAAAUAAAAAUAAUCUACGAAAGUGACUUUAACACUCUGAAUACACGACAGCCAAGACACAAACUGGGAUUAGAUACCCCACUAUGCUUGACCAUAAACUUGAGUAAUUACAAAACAAUACUACUCGCCAGAGUACUACAAGCAAUAGCUCAAAACUCAAAGGACUUGACGGUGCCUUAUAUCCAUCUAGAGGAGCCUGUUCUAUAAUCGAUAAACCCCGAUAAACCCUACCACCCCUUGCUAAUCCAAUCUAUAUACCGCCAUCCUCAGCAAACCCUACUAAGGCCACAAAGUAAGCACAAAUAUUUAAACAUAAAAACGUUAGGUCAAGGUGUAGUCUAUGAGGUGGAAAGAAAUGGGCUACAUUAUCUGCAACAGAUCAAACAUACAGCAACCCUCAUGAAACAAAGGGCCAAAGGAGGAUUUAGUAGUAAAUUAAGAAUAGAGAGCUUAAUUGAACAAGGCCAUAAAGCACGUACACACCGCCCGUCACCCUCCUCAAAACCCCAUAGCACUUAUAUCACAAUUAUAAUUUAUUCUAAUUCUUAGAGGAGAUAAGUCGUAACAAGGUAAGCAUACUGGAAAGUGUGCUUGGAUUAUC
rnacentral:ncRNA from 1 species